rnacentral:rRNA from 1 species
GAUGAACGCUGGCGGCGUGCUUAACACAUGCAAGUCGAACGGAAAGGCCAGUGCUUGCACUGGUACUCGAGUGGCGAACGGGUGAGUAACACGUGGGUGAUCUGCCAUGCACUUCGGGAUAAGCUUGGGAAACUGGUUGAAUUCCGGACAGGACCACUUCGGUGUUGGUUGGGUGGGAAGUGUUUUUGGUGUGGGAUGAGCGCGCGGCCUAUCAGCGUGGUGGUGGGGUAAUGGCCUGCCAAGGUGUCGACCGGUAGCCGGCCUGAGAGGGGGUACGGCCACAUUGGGACUGAGAUACGGCCCCGACUCCUACGGGAGGCAGCAGUGGGGAAUAUUGCACAAUGGGCGGAAGCCUGAUGCAGCGACGACGCGUGGGGGAUGACGGCCUUCGGGGUGUAAACUCCUUUCGCCAAAGACGAAUUUUGACGGUAUUUGGAGGAGAAGCACCGGCUAACUACGUG